rnacentral:rRNA from 1 species
GAUGAACGCUGGCGGCGUGCCUAAUACAUGCGAGUCGAGCGAACAGACGAGGAGCUUGCUCCUCUGACGUUAGCGGCGGACGGGUGAGUAACACGUGGAUAACCUACCUAUAAGACUGGGAUAACUUCGGGAAACCGGAGCUAAUACCGGAUAAUAUAUUGAACCGCAUGGUUCAAUAGUGAAAGACGGUUUUGCUGUCACUUAUAGAUGGAUCCGCGCCGCAUUAGCUAGUUGGUAAGGUAACGGCUUACCAAGGCAACGAUGCGUAGCCGACCUGAGAGGGUGAUCGGCCACACUGGAACUGAGACACGGUCCAGACUCCUACGGGAGGCAGCAGUAGGGAAUCUUCCGCGAUGGGCGAAAGCUUGACGGAGCAACGCCGCGUGAGUGAUGAAGGUCUUCGGAUCGUAAAACUCUGUUAUUAGGGAAGAACAAAUGUGUAAGUAACUAUGCACGUCUUGACGGUACCUAAUCAGAAAGCCACGGCUAACUACGUG